rnacentral:lncRNA from 1 species
CACAAAGUGAGGUCUGGGGAGGGUAAUAUGUAGACAGGCCUUACCCCUACCCCGAAAGGGCAGAGAGGCUAUUUCCAAUCGACCCUCGGCUCAGUGAAGGAAAUGAACAACAAAAACAAAAACAAAGACAAAAGAGCAUUAGUAACUUGAACAGAAAUAGCGUAAAUAAUUAUCUAAACAUAAGAACCAUAUAUAAAAUAGCAUGCAAUAAUAU